GUAGGUGGCAAGCGUUGUCCGGAAUUAUUGGGCGUAAAGCGCGCGCAGGCGGUUCUUUAAGUCUGAUGUGAAAGCCCACGGGCUCAACCGUGGAGGGUCAUUGGAAACUGGAGAACUUGGGUACAGAAGAGGAAAGCGGAAUUCCACGUGUAGCGGUGAAAUGCGUAGAGAUGUGGAGGAACACCAGUGGCGAAGGCGGCUUUCUGGUCUGUAACUGACGCUGAGGCGCGAAAGCGUGGGGAGCAAACAGGAUUAGAUACCCUGGUAGUCCACGCCGUAAACGAUGAGUGCUAAGUGUUAGGGGGUUUCCGCCCCUUAGUGCUGCAGCUAACGCAUUAAGCACUCCGCCUGGGGAGUACGGCCGCAAAGGCUG
rnacentral:rRNA from 1 species